AAUUCUCAACCCUUUCAGCUUUUUGAGUUGGCUGGGCUUGGAUUGUGGAAGUUGCUGGUUCUUGUUGAUCAGCUCUUCUCAAAUAUAUUAGCAGUCCUUUGCUGGCGAUCAUUGGUAUGAUAAUUAUCUAUAUCACUGAAAGACAGCCUCCCUAGUGGAGAGGUUCCGCUUCUAAUCGUCUUUAUAAGACAAUUUUGAUAC
rnacentral:misc_RNA from 1 species